rnacentral:rRNA from 1 species
GGCCCCCAGACAAAAUGAUUGGGGGUCGUUCCUGCCCAGUGCUUUUUCAAGUCAACGGCUGCGGUAUCCUGACCGUACUAAGGUAGCAUAAUAAUUUGGCCUCUAAUUAGGGUCUGGUAUGAAAGGUGUGACGGGAAGAAAUUGUCUCUUGUGAGUGCUUUAGAAAUUGGCGUAUAAGUGCAAAGGCUUAUUAAAAUAAGCAGGACGAGAAGACCCCAGGAGCCAGUUUUCUGAGUCAGGCGUGCUGGAAUCAGAAAUAUUAGUUGGGGCAACUAGGGAGCCAGAAACCUCCUUAAUUUUGAAGGUCAAACAGUGAUCCUAAAUUUUUCUGGAACAAGGCAUGGUUACCCUGGGGAUAACAGAGCUAUCACGAGCGGGAGUUCUCAUCUCACUCAUGGUUUGCUACCUCGAUGUUGGACUAGGAAACCCCCCAGGUGCAGCASCUUGMAGAAAMAMACUGUUCGUCUAUUAAUUCCUACAU